GGAGGGGCCUUGGUUCAGUGGUAGAGCAUCUGCUUGCUAUGCCGAAGGUCCCAGGUUCAAUCCCGGGCAUCUUCA
rnacentral:tRNA from 1 species